rnacentral:pre_miRNA from 1 species
UUUUAAAUCACUGCUGAUCUUGUUUAAAUGCAGAUUCUGAUUCAGAACGUCUGUGAAGAGUCCCAAGAUUCUGCAGUUUUAACAAGUUCCCAGGUGAUGCUGAU